CUGAGAAGGAAACGGAUAGAGUUAACGAAACUCAGUGGCAUUCAUCCGAGUCAUUGUCGUUGCUGCUUGCUAGGGUGUUACUGCCCUCUUUGGGGUAGAAACUUAGUGGGCUUUCGAUGAUAGUGCUUGGUGUAUUUGCCACUGGUAUGCGCUGAGAAAUUCGCUGUGGUACGUUGCAACUAUUACAAAGAUCGCCCGACUCUUAUGAAUCGGGAAAGUUUUGGUGGUGAAAACGUAUCCGCGGUGAAUGCUGCUUCGCAGUGCUGCGCUUGCUAGGGCGCAACGGUUGCUGUAUGGUUGGUGUAGCUAUUGGGCGGUCGCAUGCGACUUGCUUAUAGUUGAUGCUGGCCUAUGGUGAUGUCAGUUGCGUUGGCGUUAGCAUCUCGGUGUGAAAGUUGACCACCUAUCCGACCCGUCUUGAAACACGGACCAAGGAGUUUAGCAUAUGCGCAAGUCAUUGGGUGGUAAACCUAAAGGCGUAAUGAAAGUAAAGAUCGCUUCAAUGCGGUUGAUAUGGGAUCCGCGUAGCUGCGGCUGCUGCGGCGCACCAUAGCCCCGUCCCUAUUGCUUGCAAAAGGGCGGAGGUAGAGCGCAUACGCUGAGACCCGAAAGAUGGUGAACUAUGCCUGAGCAGGAUGAAGC
rnacentral:rRNA from 1 species